rnacentral:lncRNA from 1 species
CAGUGUGCCCUUGCCAUUGCUCCAUCUGCAAGACUCACCCUUCUAUAGAAGUAAAUUUGCCUUGCUGGAGUGUUAACUUGUUGUUGGAGUGCUAACUCUUCUUUGUGGCACCAAAAAGUUAUUUCCAACACGAAGCUGCACCCUUGGUGGAGGGAACAUCUGACGAAGUUCAAUGUUUGGGGAAAACAAUAUCUGGAAAGAUUGAAGAGUCAGCAGGAGAAACACCUAGGAAAAUUACAAGGCCUGUGAAAGAAACAUCUGAGAAAUUUGCAUGGCCACAAGAAAGACCUACAAAGACCACAUGGGAGGAAAAAGAAACAUCUGUAAAGACUGAAUGCGUGGCAGGAGUAACAUCUAAUAAAACUGAAGUUUUGGAAGAAGGAACAUCUAAGAUGAUCACAUGUCCUACAAAAAAACAGCUACAAAAGCAAGUACACAUGGACAAGAAGAACCAAGAAAGUCCUGAAGAAGAACAGAGCUCAAGAAUGUAUACCAUCAGAUGUCUCCAACUUUAUUACAAUUAAAAUAAGAUGGUAUUAGCAGGACAUACAAAUAGAGAAACAAAAAACAAACUCAUACUUACACCAUCACCUGAUUUAUGACAAGGGUGAAACUGCAGUGCAGUGAGGAAAUAAUAAUCUUCUCAAUAAAUGGUGGUAGAUAAUUUGGAUAUCAAUAUGGGAGAAUAAAAGACUUUAACCCUUGUCUUGUGUCACAAACAAAAGUCAAUCGUAGGUGGGUUAUAAAGCUCAAUCUGAAAUGUUAAAAAUUUUUAAAAAAAGCUUCUGUAACAUAGAAGAAUAUCUUUAUGACAAUGGGGUAGACAAAAAUUUCUUAAGCAAGACUAAAUAAGCGUUAACUACACAGAAAAAGUCUGAUAAAUUGAACUACAUUAAAAUUAAGAAAUUGGUAUUAACGAAGUCACCAUUAAGAGAAAGAAAAGACAAGUUAAAUUGGGAGAAGAUAUCUGCAAUGUUUAGGUCCAAUCAAAAACCUAUAUCCAGAAUAUAUAAAAAUUUCCUACAAAUCUUCAUGUAUUCUGGAUAUAAAUUUAUGAUUGGACAUAAACCAAAAAAAGUCCAGGACCAGAUGGAUUCACAGCUGAAUUCUACCAGAGGUACAAAGAGGAGCUGAUACCAUUCCUUCUGAAACUAUUCCAAUCAGUAGAAAAAGAGGGAAUCCUCCCUAACUCAUUUUAUGAGGCCAGCAUCAUCCUGAUACCAAAGCCUGGCAGAGACAC